rnacentral:rRNA from 1 species
UGGGGAAUAUUGCACAAUGGGCGCAAGCCUGAUGCAGCCAUGCCGCGUGUGUGAAGAAGGCCUUCGGGUUGUAAAGCACUUUCAGUCGUGAGGAAGGUGGUAGUGUUAAUAGCACUAUCAUUUGACGUUAGCGACAGAAGAAGCACCGGCUAACUCCGCG